GACCACUUUUAGUUUUCCUCAACUGUUUUGCCUUCCUAUAAUUAUCCCGUAGUUUUCUCCAUGUUUCUUUACAGACGUCACCUAAAAGAAAAAAUGCUUUUAAUACAUUUUUUUUCAGGUUCUUAGCGACUGGCAAUUCUUUUAAAUCGAUAGCUUAUACGUUUCGGAUGGGAGAAAGCACUGUCCGAAAAAUUGUUUAUAAAACAUGUGAAGCUAUAUGGGAUCAAUUGCAGCCUAGAGAAAUGCCGCAACCAUCAGAACAAAUGUGGAAGGAAACUGAAAAAAAAUUUUGGCAACGUUGGAAUUUUCCAAAUCUAAUUGGAGCGAUUGACGGAAAACACGUAGUCAUUCAAGCUCCACCGAAUACCGGUUCGCUAUACUUUUCUUACAAAAAAUCGUUUAGCGUUGUGCUGUUAGCCCUAGUAUCAGCUGACUACAAAUUUAUUGUUAUUGAUGUCGGCGUGAUGAAGCAUUUCCUUUGUCAGUAAACCUUAUGAGACCAUACCCAGGACAUCAAACGGCCAAUAAUGAAGAAAAUCGGAUUUUUAACUAUAGACCUAGUAGAGCUCGUCGAGGAAGACACUUGCUAUUGGAGUGAAGAUGACCAAAAGAAAGAUUGUGUUGCAUCGGAAGUAUUUCGUCCACUACCUGGUAUUGGGGGCAAUAACGCCCAACAAGUUUUGCAAGUCAGAGAACAAUUCAAAAAUUAUUUCACUUCCCCAGAAGGCGCAGUCCAUUGGUAGUUACAAGAAGUACGACGUGGAAGACGCAAUAUUAUUUAAAAAUGACCAUAGAAUAUCUUUUUUAUUCGCUUUCUUAACUAAAUAAAAUAAUUUUUAAUAUA